rnacentral:lncRNA from 1 species
CUUCACCUCCCAUUGUCUCUGUCUCUCUCUUUCUCCUCUGCUUCCCCUCCCCCCACAACCAAAGUCAAGAGCACAGACCCCACGAUCACCUGAUACCUCCAAGCAAGCAGGUGUUCUUUUCAGAAGCCAGAAGCUGAUAACCUGGGCUUUCUGAUCUAACCCCAGCCCAAAUUCAUUGCAAUGGAGGAAUUGGGGAGGAGAUUCUUCCUACUGAGAAGUGGGUGCCAACUCUCCCUUUCAAAUUUGUUCAUCAACUAACUAAAGGGGAUGCCAGAAAUGUCUGGAGCAAUGGAAGAACCACUGGAAUAAUGCUCCUGCCUGAUUGCAUCUACUUAACCCACUCUCCAAGAGCCAGAAUCAGAUUUCAACCGUAUGGAAUCAUCUACAAUGCAGCAGAUGGGUUUACAAGUCUCUUGGUCUCUUCGUGUAAUUAACAGCCAAGAAGUCUAAAGCUUGCAUUGUUUACGUGGAAGAUGUUUCUUGCCCAUUCCCACGCCAUGCCAUCUGAAAUCGCUCCUUUUUUUAUUUUUUCUGUGCAGUUUUUUUAACUUUGUGGGAUCCUCUGCAUAUAAAACUCCAUUCAAC